rnacentral:rRNA from 2 species
UUAUUUCGGUUGAAGUUUUCGNANGGAUACUGGUUUAACUUANUGGCGAACGGGUGAGUAACGCGUGAGUAACCUGCCCUGGAGUGGGGGACAACAGUUGGAAACGACUGCUAAUACCGCAUAAGCCCACGGUCCGGCAUCGGAUUGAGGGAAAAGGAUUUAUUCGCUUCAGGAUGGACUCGCGUCCAAUUAGCUAGUUGGUGAGGUAACGGCCCACCAAGGCGACGAUUGGUAGCCGGACUGAGAGGUUGAACGGCCACAUUGGGACUGAGACACGGCCCAGACUCCUACGGGAGGCAGCAGUGGGGGAUAUUGCACAAUGGGGGAAACCCUGAUGCAGCGACGCCGCGUGGAGGAAGAAGGUUUUCGGAUUGUAAACUCCUGUCGUUAGGGACGAAUCUUGACGGUACCUAACAAGAAAGCACCGGCUAACUACGUGCCAGCAGCCGCGGUAAAACGUAGGGUGCAAGCGUUGUCCGGAAUUACUGGGUGUAAAGGGAGCGCAGGCGGACCGGCAAGUUGGAAGUGAAAUCUAUGGGCUCAACCCAUAAAUUGCUUUCAAAACUGCUGGCCUUGAGUAGUGCAGAGGUAGGUGGAAUUCCCGGUGUAGCGGUGGAAUGCGUAGAUAUCGGGAGGAACACCAGUGGCGAAGGCGACCUACUGGGCACCAACUGACGCUGAGGCUCGAAAGCAUGGGUAGCAAACAGGAUUAGAUACCCUGGUAGUCCAUGCCGUAAACGAUGAUUACUAGGUGUUGGAGGAUUGACCCCUUCAGUGCCGCAGUUAACACAAUAAGUAAUCCACCUGGGGAGUACGACCGCAAGGUUGAAACUCAAAGGAAUUGACGGGGGCCCGCACAAGCAGUGGAGUAUGUGGUUAUUCGAAGCAACGCGAAGAACCUUACCAGGUCUUGACAUCCGAUGCAUAAUGCAGAUAUGCAUGAAGUCCUUCGGGACAUCGAGACAGGUGGUGCAUGGUUGUCGUCAGCUCGUGUCGUGAGAUGUUGGGUUAAGUCCCGCAACGAGCGCAACCCUUAUUGCCAGUUACUACGCAAGAGGACUCUGGCGAGACUGCCGUUGACAAAACGGAGGAAGGUGGGGAUGACGUCAAAUCAUCAUGCCCUUUAUGACCUGGGCUACACACGUACUACAAUGGCGUUUAACAAAGAGAAGCAAGACCGCGAGGUGGAGCAAAACUCAAAAACAACGUCUCAGUUCAGAUUGCAGGCUGCAACUCGCCUGCAUGAAGUCGGAAUUGCUAGUAAUCGCGGAUCAGCAUGCCGCGGUGAAUACGUUCCCGGGCCUUGUACACACCGCCCNUCACACCAUGAGAGCCGGGGGGACCCGAAGUCGGUAGUCUAACCGCAA